rnacentral:rRNA from 1 species
CGGACGGGUGAGUAACGCGUGGGUAGCCUGCCUUGUACUGGGGGACAACAGUUAGAAAUGACUGCUAAUACCGCAUAAGCGCACAGUAUCGCAUGAUACGGUGUGAAAAACUCCGGUGGUACAAGAUGGACCCGCGUCUGAUUAGCUAGUUGGUAAGGUAACGGCUUACCAAGGCGACGAUCAGUAGCCGACCUGAGAGGGUGACCGGCCACAUUGGGACUGAGACACGGCCCAA